GACGAACGCUGGCGGCGUGCUUAACACAUGCAAGUCGAACGGAAAGGCCCUGCUUUUGUGGGGUGCUCGAGUGGCGAACGGGUGAGUAACACGUGAGUAACCUGCCCUUGACUUUGGGAUAACUUCAGGAAACUGGGGCUAAUACCGGAUAGGAGCUCCUGCUGCAUGGUGGGGGUUGGAAAGUUUCGGCGGUUGGGGAUGGACUCGCGGCUUAUCAGCUUGUUGGUGGGGUAGUGGCUUACCAAGGCUUUGACGGGUAGCCGGCCUGAGAGGGUGACCGGCAACAUUGGGACUGAGAAACGGCACAGACGCCUACGGGAGGCAGCAGUGGGGAAUAGUGCACAAUGGGCGGAAGCCUGAUGCAGCAACGCCGCGUGCGGGAUGACGGCCUUCGGGUUGUAAACCGCUUUCGCCUGUGACGAAGCGUGAGUGACGGUAAUGGGUAAAGAAGCACCGGCUAACUACGUG
rnacentral:rRNA from 1 species